CGCCGGGGAGAGAGGCGGCUCUGUCUCGGCGCUCCCUCCGCGCGCCCGCGGCCCGGUGGGCAGGGGGCCCGGGGUCUUUUCUGAAGGCCGCCCGGCCCCGCAGAAAGCCUCGUGAUUUCCAUGGGGCCCUGGAGAAGAGCGCCAUGGGAAUGGGGGCUUCUGCCCAGCAGCUGGACAGAGAAUGGACUUUCUCAGGACACAUAGCCAGGAGAGGAAACCAUCGAUUUGAAGCACGGGAGGGAGGGGGAUUCCAUGGACCUUUGAUGACUUGAAGAUGGAGGAGACCCGAGAGAGAACAGCUUCCAGGAACCGAGACAACCAGCAAGGAAACAGCACCUCAAUCCGACAACCGCAGGGGCACAGUUCUGCGGCCGCCAGAAUGAACUUGGGAGCACUUUCCUUCCCAGAGCUUCCAGAGAGAAGCCCAGGCAGCUAGCUCACCCCUUGAUUUUGGCCUGACAAGACCUGGAGCACAGGAUCUAGCUGCACCCACCUGGACUUCUGGCUACAGAACUGUCAGACAAUAAAACGGGUG